CACGUAGGGUGCGAGCGUUGUCCGGAAUUAUUGGGCGUAAAGAGCUCGUAGGCGGUGUGUCGCGUCGGCCGUGAAAACCUGCAGCUUAACUGUGGGCUUGCGGUCGAUACGGGCAUCACUGGAGUUCGGCAGGGGAGACUGGAAUUCCUGGUGUAGCGGUGAAAUGCGCAGAUAUCAGGAGGAACACCGGUGGCGAAGGCGACAUCCUGGACCGGUAUUGACGCUGAGGCGCGAAA
rnacentral:rRNA from 1 species